rnacentral:tRNA from 1 species
UCCUCGUUAGUAUAGUGGACAGUUUCUCCGCCUGUCACGCGGAAGACCGGGGUUCGAUUCCCCGACGGGGAG